rnacentral:rRNA from 1 species
CUGGCUCAGGAUGAACGCUGGCGGCGUGCUUAACACAUGCAAGUCGAGCGAAGCAGUUAAGAAGAUUCUUCGGAUGAUCCUUAACUGACUGAGCGGCGGACGGGUGAGUAACGCGUGGGUGACCUGCCCCAUACCGGGGGAUAACAGCUGGAAACGGCUGCUAAUACCGCAUAAGCGCACAGAGCUGCAUGGCUCGGUGUGAAAAACUCCGGUGGUAUGGGAUGGGCCCGCGUCUGAUUAGGCAGUUGGCGGGGUAACGGCCCACCAAACCGACGAUCAGUAGCCGGCCUGAGAGGGCGACCGGCCACAUUGGGACUGAGACACGGCCCAAACUCCUACGGGAGGCAGCAGUGGGGAAUAUUGCACAAUGGGGGAAACCCUGAUGCAGCGACGCCGCGUGAGCGAAGAAGUAUUUCGGUAUGUAAAGCUCUAUCAACAGGGAAGAUAAUGACGGUACCUGACUAAGAAGCCCCGGCUAACUACGUGCCAGCAGCCGCGGUAAUACGUAGGGGGCAAGCGUUAUCCGGAUUUACUGGGUGUAAAGGGAGCGUAGACGGCAAGGCAAGUCUGAUGUGAAAACCCAGGGCUUAACCCUGGGACUGCAUUGGAAACUGUAUGGCUCGAGUGCCGGAGAGGUAAGCGGAAUUCCUAGUGUAGCGGUGAAAUGCGUAGAUAUUAGGAAGAACACCAGUGGCGAAGGCGGCUUACUGGACGGUAACUGACGUUGAGGCUCGAAAGCGUGGGGAGCCC